UACGGAGGAUGCGAGCGUUAUCCGGAUUUAUUGGGUUUAAAGGGUGCGUAGGCGGCGAGUUAAGUCAGCGGUAAAAGCCCGGGGCUCAACUGCGGGACUGCUUUUGAAACUGCCAAGCUAGAGUGUCGGAGAGGUAAGUGGAAUUCCUAGUGUAGCGGUGAAAUGCGUAGAUAUUAGGAGGAACACCAGUGGCGAAGGCGGCUUACUGGACGAUGACUGACGCUGAGGCUCGAAAGCGUGGGGAGCAAACAGG
rnacentral:rRNA from 1 species